rnacentral:lncRNA from 1 species
UCUGAGUUAAGUUACCUGGAGCAAGAGAAGGACGUUGAGGCUUUAUCUGAAGCUUCCAGCAAUUCAAAGAUAUGUACGCUUUGUGAGAGCUUGAUCAGUCAGGCAGUUGAAUAUUUUGCUGAUAACCAGACCCAGAGUGAGAUUAUUGGUCUUCUCCGGCAAACAUGCGCGUGUGGCGGGCGUGUUCAAGGAAGAGGUACAACUUCACGUUCCCAUCUUACAUUUUUUAUCACACAAAUAUUCAUGAGUGUGGGGUUUGAAAUGAUAGAUAAUUAUUUCCCUUUUAAAACGAAGGAAAUCUUCUAACCAAUUCUACUAGGGGUUGUUUGGCUGACCGACUUCUUAAGUUGGCGACUUGGUGUUAACCACUCAACUUCACUAAUAAGUGUGGGUCAUUUAUCGAGAACUCACCCCAAACUUCAACUUACUAACUCUAACAUAUUAAUCCUGUGCUUAUUAACCCAACUCAGUAGGCCAAACACCCGCAAGUAUUUAUAUCUUCCCCAUUUGUCUGAAUUGAAGGGACAAGAGAGAAUAUAAUUUUCUGUUAAUAAUAUUAUAUUGUCUUCAAAUCAACUUUCAGUGCAUCAGUCUGGUGGACAGCUAUGUGCCUCUCUUCUUCUCGAAGAUUUCCUCAAUUGAACCUUCUAGCAUCUGCCAAUCAGCCCACAUCUGUGAGCAAGUUACUAUAAUCUCCUCGCUGUUUCAG